GAACGGCUCAUUAUAACAGCUAUAAUUUACUUGAUCUUGACAUCCUACUUGGAUAACUGUGGUAAUUCUAGAGCUAAUACAUGCACCAAAGCUCCGACUAAAGAACGAGCGCAUUUAUUAGAACAAAACCAAUCGGGCUUCGGCUCGUCUGUUGGUGACUCUGAAUAACUCAGCUGAUCGCAUGGUCUUGCACCGGCGACGUGUCUUUCAAGUAUCUGCCUUAUCAACUUUCGAUGGUAGUUUAUGUGCCUACCAUGGUUGUAACGGGUAACGGAGAAUAAGGGUUCGACUCCGGAGAGGGAGCCUGAGAAACGGCUACCACAUCCAAGGAAGGCAGCAGGCGCGCAAAUUACCCACUCUCGGCACGAGGAGGUAGUGACGAAAAAUAACGAGACCGUUCUCUUUGAGGCCGGUUAUCGGAAUGGGUACAAUUCAAAUCCUUUAACGAGGAUCUAUGAGAGGGCAAGUCUGGUGCCAGCAGCCGCG
rnacentral:rRNA from 1 species